GAGCGGAAGGCCCCUUCGGGGGUACUCGAGCGGCGAACGGGUGAGUAACACGUGAGCAACCUGCCCCUGACUCUGGGAUAAGCCCGGGAAACUGGGUCUAAUACCGGAUAUGACCACUCCAGGCAUCUGGUGGUGGUGGAAAGUUUUUCGGUUGGGGAUGGGCUCGCGGCCUAUCAGCUUGUUGGUGGGGUGAUGGCCUACCAAGGCGACGACGGGUAACCGGCCUGAGAGGGCGACCGGUCACACUGGGACUGAGACACGGCCCAGACUCCUACGGGAGGCAGCAGUGGGGAAUAUUGCGCAAUGGGCGGAAGCCUGACGCAGCGACGCCGCGUGGGGGAUGACGGCCUUCGGGUUGUAAACCCCUUUCAGCAGGGACGAAGCUAACGUGACGGUACCUGCAGAAGAAGCGCCGGCUAACUACGUGCCAGCAGCCGCGGUAAUACGUAGGGCGCAAGCGUUGUCCGGAAUUAUUGGGCGUAAAGAGCUCGUAGGCGGUUUGUCGCGUCUGUCGUGAAAGCCCACGGCUUAACCGUGGGUCUGCGGUGGAUACGGGCAGACUAGAGGCAGGUAGGGGAGAAUGGAAUUCCCGGUGUAGCGGUGAAAUGCGCAGAUAUCGGGAGGAACACCGGUGGCGAAGGCGGUUCUCUGGGCCUGUACUGACGCUGAGGAGCGAAAGCGUGGGGAGCGAACAGGAUUAGAUACCCUGGUAGUCCACGC
rnacentral:rRNA from 1 species